UGGGGAAUCUUCCGCAAUGGGCGAAAGCCUGACGGAGCAAUGCCGCGUGAGUGAAGAAGGCCUUCGGGUUGUAAAACUCUGUCCUUAUCGAAGAGAGGUGGGUAUGUGAAUAAUGUACCUAUAGGACGGUAGAUAAGGAGGAAGCCCCGGCUAACUACGUGCCAGCAGCCGCGGUAAUACGUAGGGGGCGAGCGUUGUCCGGAAUCACUGGGCGUAAAGGGCGCGUAGGCGGUUUAAUAAGUCAGUGGUGAAAACUGAGGGCUCAACCCUCAGCCUGCCACUGAUACUGUUAGACUUGAGUAUGGAAGAGGAGAAUGGAAUUCCUAGUGUAGCGGUGAAAUGCGUAGAUAUUAGGAGGAACACCAGUGGCGAAGGCGAUUCUCUGGGCCAAGACUGACGCUGAGGCGCGAAAGCUGGGGGAGCGAACAGGAUUAGAUACCC
rnacentral:rRNA from 1 species